rnacentral:rRNA from 1 species
CAGCCUACGGGGGGCAGCAGUGGGGAAUAUUGCGCAAUGGGGGAAACCCUGACGCAGCAACGCCGCGUGAGUGAGGAAGUAUCCCGGUAUGUAAAGCUCUAUCAGCGGGGAAGAAAGAGGACGGUACCUGACUAAGAAGCCCCGGCUAACUACGUGCCAGCAGCCGCGGUAAUACGUAGGGGGCAAGCGUUAUCCGGAUUUACUGGGUGUAAAGGGAGCGUAGACGGCUGUGCAAGUCUGAAGUGAAAGCCCGUGGCUCAACCGCGGAACUGCUUUGGAAACUGUAUAGCUUGAGUACUGGAGAG